rnacentral:rRNA from 1 species
ACAGAUGGGAGCUUGCUCCCUGAUGUUAGCGGCGGACGGGUGAGUAACACGUGGGUAACCUGCCUGUAAGACUGGGAUAACUCCGGGAAACCGGGGCUAAUACCGGAUGGUUGUCUGAACCGCAUGGUUCAGACAUAAAAGGUGGCUUCGGCUACCACUUACAGAUGGACCCGCGGCGCAUUAGCUAGUUGGUGAGGUAACGGCUCACCAAGGCGACGAUGCGUAGCCGACCUGAGAGGGUGAUCGGCCACACUGGGACUGAGACACGGCCCAGACUCCUACGGGAGGCAGCAGUAGGGAAUCUUCCGCAAUGGACGAAAGUCUGACGGAGCAACGCCGCGUGAGUGAUGAAGGUUUUCGGAUCGUAAAGCUCUGUUGUUAGGGAAGAACAAGUGCCGUUCAAAUAGGGCGGCACCUUGACGGUACCUAACCAGAAAGCCACGGCUAACUACGUGCCAGCAGCCGCGGUAAUACGUAGGUGGCAAGCGUUGUCCGGAAUUAUUGGGCGUAAAGGGCUCGCAGGCGGUUUCUUAAGUCUGAUGUGAAAGCCCCCGGCUCAACCGGGGAGGGUCAUUGGAAACUGGGGAACUUGAGUGCAGAAGAGGAGAGUGGAAUUCCACGUGUAGCGGUGAAAUGCGUAGAGAUGUGGAGGAACACCAGUGGCGAAGGCGACUCUCUGGUCUGUAACUGACGCUGAGGAGCGAAAGCGUGGGGAGCGAACAGGAUUAGAUACCCUGGUAGUCCACGCCGUAAACGAUGAGUGCUAAGUGUUAGGGGGUUUCCGCCCCUUAGUGCUGCAGCUAACGCAUUAAGCACUCCGCCUGGGGAGUACGGUCGCAGACUGAAACUCA